GAUGAACGCUGGCGGCGUGCCUAAUACAUGCCAGUCGAGCGAACAGACGAGGAGCUUGCUCCUCUGACGUUAGCGGCGGACGGGGGAGUAACACGUGGAUAACCUACCUAUAAGACUGGGAUAACUUCGGGAAACCGGAGCUAAUACCGGAUAAUAUAUUGAACCGCAUGGUUCAAUAGUGAAAGACGGUUUUGCUGUCACUUAUAGAUGGAUCCGCGCCGCAUUAGCUAGUUGGUAAGGUAACGGCUUACCAAGGCAACGAUGCGUAGCCGACCUGAGAGGGUGAUCGGCCACACUGGAACUGAGACACGGUCCAGACUCCUACGGGAGGCAGCAGUAGGGAAUCUUCCGCAAUGGGCGAAAGCCUGACGGAGCAACGCCGCGUGAGUGAUGAAGGUCUUCGGAUCGUAAAACUCUGUUAUUAGGGAAGAACAAAUGUGUAAGUAACUAUGCACGUCUUGACGGUACCUAAUCAGAAAGCCACGGCUAACUACGUG
rnacentral:rRNA from 1 species